UAUUAUGCUGUUAUUCACCGAGA
rnacentral:miRNA from 1 species